rnacentral:misc_RNA from 1 species
AAGUCGUAACAAGGUUUCCGUAGGUGAACCUGCGGAAGGAUCAUUAACACGUAUCCAACGUUAAACCCCCCGUGCAUCUUUAGAGAGCUCUUGUAAGCCCAUUAUGAUAGCAAUCCUGGUAAAUCAGUGGCGAAAGUAGUCUUUGAUUCAGGACCUCUGUCUGGUGAGAACCUAGCGGUAAGCGAGCAAUUGAGCCUUUUAUCGUCAGUCUGGAGUCCUGGCCGGGCGAAUGAAAGUGUCGCUGGACGGUUUCUAGGGUAAGGCUUCGCCAUCACUGGAGGCUCAACACGGGCCGGUGGACAGCCCAUGCCCCUUUAUGACGACCAAGUUAAAUAAGGCCUCUACCACAUAGCAAGUGCGCCAAACGUACAACUGUUAACAAUGGAUAUCUUGGUUCUC